CAGUCGAGCGGUAUAUAUUGGAACGAUAUUUCGAUUGAGUGAAGAUAUCCAUGCGGCGGACGGGUGAGUAACGCGUAGGCAACCUGCCCCAUACAGAGGGAUAGCCUCGGGAAACCGGGAUUAAAACCUCAUAACGCCAAGAGUUCACAUGGGCUUUUGGCCAAAGAUUUAUCGGUAUGGGAUGGGCCUGCGUCUGAUUAGCUAGUUGGUGGGGUAACGGCCUACCAAGGCAACGAUCAGUAGCCGACCUGAGAGGGUAAUCGGCCACAUUGGAACUGAGACACGGUCCAAACUCCUACGGGAGGCAGCAGUGGGGAAUAUUGCACAAUGGGCGAAAGCCUGACCCAGCGACGCCGCGUGCGGGAUGAAGGCCUUCGGGUUGUAAACCGCUUUCAGCAGGGAAGAAGCGAAAGUGACGGUACCUGCAAAAGAAGCACCGGCUAACUACGUGCCAGCAGCCGCGGUAAUACGUAGGGUGCAAGCGUUGUCCGGAAUUAUUGGGCGUAAAGAGCUCGUAGGCGGUUUGCUACGUCGGAUGUGAAACCCUGAGGCUCAACCUCAGGCCUGCAUACGAUACGGGCUAACUAGAGUGUGGUAGGGGAGACUGGAAUUCCUGGUGUAGCGGUGAAAUGCGCAGAUAUCAGGAGGAACACCGGUGGCGAAGGCGGGUCUCUGGGCCAUUACUGACGCUGAGGAGCGAAAGCGUGGGGAGCAAACAGGAUUAGAUACCCUGGUAGUCCACGCCGUAAACGGUGGGCACUAGGUGUGGGACCCUUCCACGGGUUCUGCGCCGCAGCUAACGCAUUAAGUGCCCUGCCUGGGGAGUACGG
rnacentral:rRNA from 1 species